CGCUGGCGGCAGGCCUAACACAUGCAAGUCGAGCGGAUGAAAGGAGCUUACUCCUGGAUUCAGCGGCGGACGGGUGAGUAAUGCCUAGGAAUCUGCCUGGUAGUGGGGGACAACGUUUCGAAAGGAACGCUAAUACCGCAUACGUCCUACGGGAGAAAGCAGGGGACCUUCGGGCCUUGCGCUAUCAGAUGAGCCUAGGUCGGAUUAGCUAGUUGGUGAGGUAAUGGCUCACCAAGGCGACGAUCCGUAACUGGUCUGAGAGGAUGAUCAGUCACACUGGAACUGAGACACGGUCCAGACUCCUACGGGAGGCAGCAGUGGGGAAUAUUGGACAAUGGGCGAAAGCCUGAUCCAGCCAUGCCGCGUGUGUGAAGAAGGUCUUCGGAUUGUAAAGCACUUUAAGUUGGGAGGAAGGGUUGUAGAUUAAUACUCUGCAAUUUUGACGUUACCGACAGAAUAAGCACCGGCU
rnacentral:rRNA from 1 species